GCCCGAUCCCAGAUGAAGAGCUGGUCACGUUCAUCCUGGCGGGGCUCGACUUCGACUACAACCCACUGGUGUCAUCAGUGCUUGGACGCGUUCCAGCGAUCAUCCUGAGCGAACUAUAUGCUCAGAUGAUUGC
rfam:Sorghum bicolor cultivar BTx623 chromosome 2, whole genome shotgun sequence.